UUUAUUUUCAUUUCACACGUUUUAUUGUGUUUCUUCAUAAUAUUUACAAUACCACGGAGCAAUCGUUCUCUAAGCUAUUUGGUUAUUCAUACUAUAUUCGGAACAAUUAGAAGUAAAGAACUAUAAAGUAUUUAGAAGUUUUCGAAAACUUUUGUUUCAAGUUUAACGAGGAUUAUAUCAACAUCCUAGUAUUCAAUCACAACAAAAGUCUCCAAAGUAUUCAAUGACAAGACGAUCAAGAUUAUUUUAUCAUGGUCAUUUCGAAUAUUCGAUUGCCUCAGAUCGAACUUCCCAAGGACGAAAUUCUUGAUGACGAAGACAAAAAAGUUUUGGAAGCUUUGGAUACUAUUCUAAAUGGUUUCAAAAAUGCACAAAAACGUACUCGUACGAUAAAAAAAGCAUUCAUUGAAUUAGAAUCUAUAACUGUGAGUCUGCUACAGAAAUUUGAAGAUGAAGAGACCUUUCCCAAGAACGAGGCAAAUAAAGUCCUUUCAAACAGAAAUCCAAUUUGUAAAUCCACAAUUUCAAAACUUCAUGAUGAUUUGAUCAGACCAGGACAAUCCAACGAUAAGCAAAAGCAAUUGGAUCAUGAAUUUCCUAGAAAAAGUUGUGAGAAUUUAGAGAUGGAAGUAAAUGCAUCGAUUUCUGGAAUUCCAAAAGUUGCCAAAAAGCAGAACAUUUCUACAGAAGAUGAAAUAGGCAAUGAAGAAAACACACCGCCAUUCAUAGACGAAAGUCCAACCUAUAAUGAUUUAUCCAUACAUUCUAAUGAGGCUAAGGCAAUAAAAAUUAGCUUGGCUAAAACGAUUUUCACUCCAGAAAUACAGAAGCACCGCAAAACACCAAAAUCCAAAUCCCUGAAACAAGCGACCCUUGUUUUCCAGCCAGUCGUAACGAAAACUGAUCUCACAUUGUCACAGAAGAAAGGAACAAGAAACCCAAAUGUUGCUCACAAUUCGAGCAAUUUGUUUGACGAGGAUUAUCGUACGAAAAAAAAGGCAUCCGAUCGUGCCACUGGACAUAGUAAGAAAACAGAACUGGUGGAUUUGACGACACAAAAUGAACAAUUGACUUCAACUCCGAACGCAAAGGAGGUCAAAGUUGAUCCUUUAAACGAAAAGGUUGGGAUAAAUGCUUCAAAAAAAUCAGAUUCGAUCAUCGUAAUUCCAACAGCAAGUCAAAUUGACGAAACCGCUCGUUCACUCUUCGACGACGAGGAUCACGACAAUUUUGUAGUAUCUCCGGAUAUUUUGGACACUUGUACGGAUUUCACGGCUUUUAAUAACUCUGUUAAAAAUGAUGGAAAAAAGAAUUUUGACGGGAUUGAAAAAAGUGAUUCAGUCGCAGCAGGCACAUCGAAAGCUUUACAACGCGAUUCGUUCGACGAAACUUUUUUUGCACCAGCCGAAAUGAAUGUUCUGGGAAGCGAUGCUAAAGAGAAACCGCUUCUGGCUGGGUGCUCAAAGAUCACAAGCCCUCGUGAAACUCCCAACAAAGUUAGACCCUUCAAGAGAAAAUCACACGAAGAACCGUCUGGCGAUUCAGCUGACGAUUUCGAAGACUUGGCCUUGCAGGAUGUCAACUGGGACAUUGAAAUCUCAAACGACAGUUGGGUAUCUUCAAAAAAUCCCCAUGAGAGCUUUCACAUUCCACCGCAAAAAACAAAGAAAAGUCCACAAUAUGCUCACAGAGGAAACACCGAAAGAAAUAUGGCAAAAAGGAGCAAAUUACGUGGUUGGGACUGUCCGCAAUGUGAAAAGUACUAUCAAAAUAUGGAUUUAUCAGAAAGCCAGAUGGAAAAACGAAAAAACGCGUGUUCUCGUCACAGGUCGAAAUUCAAUCCGCGAUAUUUCACUCCGAAAGGUUUCUGGAACCCAGAAUUUUCGCCAGCUCCGGAUUCGAGUGACUUCAGCGAUGAUUAAUUGCGCAAAUGCAAUCAUUAUCCAGCGUCUGGGAAUUAUGCAACAAAGAAGUGAUUCCUUAUAACUGUCCAGAGAUUCCAUGGACAUGGACUUACAUGGUCGGAUCCGCAUUUGGUUCCCACGGGAGCCGGUCCAUCAGAUUUUGACGUGAAUCGAUAUCCAUGCUCAUCAUUAUUCACAAGUUUGAAACCUUUGCAUAUUUCAUUCCUUCCGAAGGCAUUGUAGGAUCGAGCAAAAGGGUCGACUUCGGCUGGCGUAGGAAAGUAAAAUAAUCGCGUGAUAAGGAAAAAUUUUCUUAUUCCAAAGGACCGAUUGACAUUGACUCACGUGGUUGAGGCCACAUUUGGUUCCAAAGGCUGCCGGUCCAAUAGAUUCUGACAAAUAUCGAUAGCCCGAUUUUGUCUUCGUCGCACAUUUCAAAUCCGCGCAUAUCUUAUCCAUGUGGAAGCCUGGUCCUGACUGCAAAGACAAUGGGACGAGACUUUUUAUACAACAGUUUUGCAAAGAUUUCGAAAGCUGGCCAUUCGUUCUUUAUUCCUUAAAACUUACGUUGCAAUAUCCCAAAUGCCCUCGCGAUUGACAUUGUUUAUGGGCGUACUGAAACCGAGAAGUGCAAUAAGAAUAUUUUAAUUCUCUUCAUUUUUGUAAGUUGAGUACAGCUCUCUAAAUAUUUAUUCUUCUUACCGGGUCAACAAUGUUGCACGUUACUGCUGAUACGGCUAGAACCGCAAAAAAGACGAGCGUAGAACGCAUGAUGGACGAACUGAGAAAACUAUUAAAGCAAAUGCUCCAUCAACUAAUGCAUUUUUAUAAAAAUAGUUCAAACGAUGACAAAAAUUUAUCCGAGUUAAUAAGAGAAAUCGUGGAAUGUAAAAUAAAUGAAAUGGUAAUUCACGGAAGCCAAAAAAUUCACAUAAAAUGGGAAAAAAAAUAUAUUCAUCGGAUCUCGUUCAUUUUACAUUCUUUAUUGGAGCACGAUUAAUCAUUUUUCGAUAGAAAUAAGAAUUCGUAAAGUACUUACCAAACGAUGUGAUGUUUAUUAGUUUUUUAAAUUAUUCAACUUUUUGAGCUUUUUUCUGUUCGUAGCAAUUUCGGAGGUUCGCCGACUGACAUCGAAUUGUGAAUUCGUCUCUUUUAUACUUCUCAUCCGACAUCAGCGAUGAUGGGAUAGAUAAUAAAUUAAUAUGUGCAAACGAAGCACAAAUGUUUGAAUUGAUAUCGAACUUCGAGAGGACUUAUUCAUGCGCGACAUCGAAAUAGUGAAAAUACGAACGCAGCGUUUAUCAUCCAAGAAGCAAUUUAUAUCUUUUUAUACGAAAUACGUACACUCCGUUAGGAUACGAUUUCCGAGAAUAAUGAGAAUUACAUUUUACUAGCGUCCCAUGAGAGAAAGAAGUUUUUUUCGGAAACGCCUCGAAGAAUGAAUAUAGGAAUCUACUGAUAAAUCAUUUCUUUCUUUCCUGCACUCGCACAGCUGUACUAAUCGUUGAUUAUUCCCAGAAGUAAAAGUCAAAUUUUUUAUCGAAAGGGAGCUGAACAAUAUCAAUAGAUUGAGGUGCCAUUAAUAAUCCUGACAUCUAAGGAACCAAAGUAGGAAAUAAAUUGAGUGCUGGUCCUAGUAGCCCAAAGUACUGGUCAUUUUCCGUUGGCUUUUUGACGAAAAUGGAUGCCACAGAACAGGAAAAACGUCCGAGUGAGAUGAAAAAAUUGUCCAUUCACUUGUUGGCUUCUCAAAUUUUUUUUAUUAUUUCAAAAAUUGAAAAGAUAAUAAAAUUGUCAAAGACGCGUAAAUUUUGCUUUGCGCGAAAUAACCUAUUUUUCAGUUUUCGUCAACAUCGAUCCAUCAAUCUUACGACUAUGGCGUGUGGCUGAGGAAAACAGAUAUUGUAAUUCAAUCGACAUAAAGCGGAGGGUAAAGUUCUAUGAUACGCCCAACGGUUUAUCCAAAAAAUACCGUGUGUAAAUUUAUGUAAAUUUACACACCAUAAUUAAAGAAUCAUUUUAUUUA